CGGCGAGUGAAGCGGCAACAGCUCAAAUUUGAAAUCUGGCCCUUUCAGGGUCCGAGUUGUAAUUUGUAGAGGAUGUUUCGGGUGUGGCUCCGGUCUAAGUUCCUUGGAACAGGACGUCAUAGAGGGUGAGAAUCCCGUAUGUGACUGGUAGCCUAUGCUCAUGUGAAACUCCUUCGACGAGUCGAGUUGUUUGGGAAUGCAGCUCAAAAUGGGUGGUAAAUUUCAUCUAAAGCUAAAUAUUGGCCAGAGACCGAUAGCGCACAAGUAGAGUGAUCGAAAGAUGAAAAGCACUUUGGAAAGAGAGUUAAACAGUACGUGAAAUUGUUGAAAGGGAAGCGCUUGCAACCAGACUUGCAUGUAGCUGAUCAACCGGUGUUCUCACCGGUGCACUCAGUUACGUUCAGGCCAGCAUCGGUUUCGACGGUUGGAUAAAGGCCUUGGGAAUGUAGCUUCUUUCGGGGAGUGUUAUAGCCCAGGGUGCAAUGCAGCCUGUUGGGACCGAGGACCGCGCUUCGGCUAGGAUGCUGGCGUAAUGGUUGUAAGCGACCCGUCUUGAAACACGGACCAAGGAGUCUAACAUCUAUGCGAGUGUUUGGGUGUCAAACCCAUACGCGUAAUGAAAGUGAACGGAGGUGAGAACCCUUAAGGGUGCAUCAUCGACCGAUCCUGAUGUCUUCGGAUGGAUUUGAGUAAGAGCAUAGCUGUUGGGACCCGAAAGAUGGUGAACUAUGCCUGAAUAGGGUGAAGCCAGAGGAAACUCUGGUGGAGGCUCGCAGCGGUUCUGACGUGCAAAUCGAUCGUCAAAUUUGGGUAUAG
rnacentral:rRNA from 1 species